ACGGGGUGCAGCAGGCGCGAAACCUCUGCAAUAGGCGAAAGCCUGACAGGGCUUACUCUGAUGAUUUCCGUUAAGGAGAUCUUUUGGCACCUCUAAAAAUGGUGCAGAAUAAGGGGUGGGCAAGUCUGGUGUCAGCCGCCGCGGUAAUACCAGCACCCCGAGUGGUCGGGACGUUUAUUGGGCCUAAAGCAUCCGUAGCCGGUUCUACAAGUCUUCCGUUAAAUCCACCUGCUUAACAGAUGGGCUGCGGAAGAUACUAUAGAGCUAGGAGGCGGGAGAGGCAAGCGGUACUCGAUGGGUAGGGGUAAAAUCCGUUGAUCCAUUGAAGACCACCAGUGGCGAAGGCGGCUUGCCAGAACGCGCUCGACGGUGAGGGAUGAAAGCUGGGGGAGCAAACCGGAUUAGAUACCCG
rnacentral:rRNA from 1 species